GGCACCCAACAGGUGUCUUCUGGGAAUGGGUGGAGAGCAGAGGGUGAGUCCGAUGUGCAAGCUCCCGCCCCAGAAGUCAGUGUGACUUCAUGCCCGACCGCACGUGGGCUUAGUAAGCACCGGGAAGGCACAAACCCAGAAACCUUGACUUUUUAAUGGGAUGAUUCAACUCUAAUGGCUGGUGACCUCAUGGGGUGGCCGUGAGCACCGCAACUUGCACAUCUCUGCUCCUGCUACCUUCUGGGCAACAGGAAACUUGUAACCAAGUUUGGCUGACCACUGACGGGUCGCCACAUGCUCUCUCCAAGGCCCUAACAGCAACGCUUUGCGUCGUGCUCUUUUCUCUGAUGGUCCCCAACCAUUUGGAAACCUUAUCUCAUUCUCUCAUUAAUCUUUUGCAACAGUCCCACAACUGCCCCAGCCGUGGAUCGAAGACCACAACCCGGGGCAGCUUAACGGUGAGCUGAGGGACCCAUCUACACCCCACCACAGCGCCCACCACAGGGGAUCCUCUCACUAGGUGGGGCUGCAGUGACCACGUGCUACCCAGGUUCCUGACAAGGAGCUGAAACCCAACCGUGUGUCAUGGGGCAGCUGCAGCAGCUGCCGCCCAGCCUGGCUCCGAGAGCCUCCUGCUAUGGGUUUGAGUCCUAGCAGCCGGAGGUGAUCCGCUCUCUGCAACGGGGGGCUGGGAGGCGGCUCCUCCUGCUACGCACUGUCGCUGAGCCCCGCGCUGUUCACAUGCUGUGUCCUGCGGUCUGUGUUCCUUGGCUACAGAAGGUGACACCGUGGAGAAGCUGCCCUGAGGUCUCAGGACUGCUCACUGUGAAGUUCCUGGAGACGCACUCAGCCUGCACGACUCGGCAUCAUUUAAGCCUGUGGUUUUUCCUGUUCACCAUCUUUGUCCCUCCUGUGGGAACUUUGGCCACCUCUGUCACUCCCACCUUACAGAUUGGACAACACUGACUGGGACGUGAGCAAGCUUGGUGACUGAGGAGAUGAAUUCUAGAAGCUGGAAACAGAGGGCAGCUUUCCCUUCUGGAAGAAAGAAGCAUUUCUUUCCUGUUAACAAGGUGCAGAAGGGCCGAGGGUCUAACCAGGGCUGCUCCCAAUCACUGCUUUGCAAGCAGCAGCCGCCUCUGUAAGCCCAGCGAGUGGC